CACCGGCGACGAAGCGUACGGCGCCCUGCGGUCGUGAUCGAUCGCCUCCAGGAACCUACCACGCGCGCCGAGGCGAGGGCCUCGUGGACUCCGUCCGUCGCCGCUUGGCCGACGACCUCGUGAUGGAUCGAUUAUUUCUCAGCUUGGCGCAUGCAGUACGGCAGCACGCCGCGCGCAGUUUCCUUGGAUUCUAUUCCAUCUCUUCGCGUCCGCUUCCUCUAAUUGCUUCUCAAAUCAUUCGUUCGUUCGUGCUGGUCAUCCUCCUACAUCUGCCUGUCUCGCUCUCCGAUUGAUUAAUCGUGUUCAUUGGGAUUUAAAAAGAGGAACAUGGAUUUUUGUUGGUGACUUGUAAGCAGCAACAAGAUCUUGCAAUUUCUAAUUUUCUAGCCAUCCACGUGAGUACAGAUCAGGCGAGUACCUCGGGGCAGAGCCCGCGCUGCCGUACCUGAGCCCCUACAUGCGCGGCGAGAACCUGCUCGUCAGCGCCAACUUCGCGUCCACCGGCGUCGGCAUCCUCAAUGACACAGGCGUGCAAUUCGUGAACAUCAUCAGGAUCGCCCAGCAGCUGCAGAACUUCCAGGACUACCAGCAGAGUGCGUAGGAUUUUUUUUUAAAUUACUACAUUCCCCAACAGUGGUAUCCGAGCAAGGUUUAUGCGUAGAUGUUAUAUGCACGAGUAGAACACAAGUGAGUUGUGGGCGAUAAUAGUCAUACUGCUUACCAGCAUGCCAUACUUUGAUUCGGCGGUAUUGUUGGAUGAAGCGGCCCGGACCGACAUUACGCGUACGCUUACGCGAGACUGGUUCUACCGACGUG